AUUGAACGCUGGCGGCAGGCCUAACACAUGCAAGUCGAGCGAGCGGCGGACGGGUGAGUAAUGUCUGGGAAACUGCCUGAUGGAGGGGGAUAACUACUGGAAACGGUAGCUAAUACCGCAUACCAUCAGAUGUGCCCCGAUGGGAUUAGCUAGUAGGUGGGGUAACGGCGUACCUAGGCGACGAUCCCUAGCUGGUCUGAGAGUAUGACCAGCCACACGAGAAAUGAGAGACGGUCCAGAAUCCUACGGGAGGCAGCAGUGGGGAAUAUUGCACAAUGGGCGCAAGCCUGAUGCAGCCAUGCCGCGUGGGUGAAGAAGGCCUUCGGGUUGUAAAGCACUUUCAGCGGGGAGGCGUUACCCGCAGAAGAAGCACCGGCUAACUCCGUGCCAGCAGCGGCGGUAAUAC
rnacentral:rRNA from 1 species